GGGCCCCGAGAACCCAAAUUUCAGAGGGAGAUCAAAGGCUCAGCUCUCACACUUCCCUGAGCGGGAGUAGCAGAACCAUAAGAGUUGUAUAAGACUGUCGCCUAUGGAAAUUUUGGAGAAUUAUCUUAGGAAUUUGGGAGAUUUCUGUUUUCUAACCAUCAAAAUAGCCGCACUGAGGGUCCCACCAAGUCUUAUCCAGGUCCUUUGCCAUCAUGUUCCGGGACCUGAAACCAAAGCACUGCUCAGCUCUUAGCUUAUGGUGGUGUGAGUGGAUUAAAAACACCCCCUUCCUCUUCUGUCUUCAAGUGUGGCUUCAAUGAAGAUCAACUCUACAGGUCUGAAACUAAGAAGAAAUUAACUGGGACGCGCGCCUCCUAGUGGUCAUGUCCCCACCGGCAAUGAGCUAAUCAAGAACUACCAAUUUAGACAAAUCUACAAGCCUCAACACAGGUGAAUCUGAAUCUCACAGUGAAUCUUAAACCACUACCAUGAUUCAACAGAUCUUGGCUUCUGUGUUAUUUAUUAACUCUCCUAAUGGCUGUGAUACAUACCAAAGUUUGAUACACCUUUAAAGAAUAAAAAGCUAUACAUCAUAACAGGAGAAAAUCCAAUAAAUUAUCAAGCACGAAAUCUUCUUUCUUACUUUGUUAUCUUUGAAGAGAUAUUAGGUGCCCAGGAGAACAUCUCUGAGACAAGAUAGUAGUAGAAGUAAAAAUAUACUGAGACUGAGACAAAAUUAGCAACUAUGUUUUAUAAUUAAGAAAUCUCUACCAGGUGGGGGAAAAAAAUCUUUCUCCAAAUGUACUAUUUCUUUUUUUUUUUAUCAUCUAUUUAUCUGUCAUAUAUAUAUUUAUUUAUUAUUUUUGAACCAUGGUUGUUCCUGAGGUUCUGCAACUGAGUGCUUCCACAAUUCCCUGAAGCCAAUUUCUCUUUUUCCGUCCCUUUGGUACCUCUGUUUCUUUCUUUCCCUAGCAUCUUUUCUUCUUUCUUUCUUUCUUUCUUUUUGUCUUUCUUUCUUCCUUCCUUCCUUCCUUCCUUCCCCUCUUCCUCCCUUUCUCCCUUCUUUCCUUUUUUUUUUAAAUAAUUCAUUUCUUUAUUGGGGAAUUAAUGUUUUACAUUCAACAGUAAAUACAAUAGUUUGUACAUGCAUAACAUUCACCAGAUUCCCAUUUAACAAUACAACCCCCACUAUGUCAUUCAUCAUCUUUCAUGGACCUGUAUUCUCCCCACCCACCCACCCACCCACCCCAGAGUCUUUUACUUUGGUGUAAUACUCCAAAAAUGUACUAUUUCUUUGUCCUAAAAUGUUAAGUUUUCUACUCGUAGCGGUUCUCAA